GCGAUGAGCUGAUUUGCAUAAGACGAAAAAUAAGGCAAUACAUGUGAAUGUGAACACAUGAUUUUUCGCCGCAAAUACAGAAAAGACGUCUAUACAUUUGUAUAGGCGUC
rnacentral:sRNA from 1 species